UGGGAAUAUUGGCACAAUGGGCGCAAGCCUGAUGCCAGCCAUGCCGCGUGUGUGAAGAAGGCCUUCGGGUUGUAAAGCACUUUCAGCGAGGAGGAAGGUGGUGAGCUUAAUACGCUCAUCAAUUGACGUUACUCGCAGAAGAAGCACCGGCUAACUCCGUGCCAGCAGCCGCGGUAAUACGGAGGGUGCAAGCGUUAAUCGGAAUUACUGGGCGUAAAGCGCACGCAGGCGGUUUGUUAAGUCAGAUGUGAAAUCCCCGGGCUCAACCUGGGAACUGCAUUUGAAACUGGCAAGCUAGAGUCUCGUAGAGGGGGGUAGAAUUCCAGGUGUAGCGGUGAAAUGCGUAGAGAUCUGGAGGAAUACCGGUGGCGAAGGCGGCCCCCUGGACGAAGACUGACGCUCAGGUGCGAAAGCGUGGGGCAGCAAAACAGGAUUAGAUACCCUGGUAGUCCACGCUGU
rnacentral:rRNA from 1 species